UUCUUAUAAAAUAUCUAUAAGUAAAAUCUGCUCAAUGUAAAAUAAAUAGCCGCAGAAUCCUUACUGUGCUAAGGUAGCAUAAUCAUUUACCUUUUAAUUAAAGGUUUGUAUGAAAGAUUUAACAUUUAAAUUACUUUUUUAUUAAAUCUAUCUUAAAUUAAACCAAGAAUAAAAAUGUUCUUAUAAAUUAAAAAGACGAUAAGACCCUACUGAACUUUACUUACGUUAAGCUGGGGAAGCUAAUUAAAUAUAAUUUUAAUAAAAAUAUACACAAAAAUUUCUAGUUAAACUAAUUUGAACAAGUUACCAUAGGGAUAACAGCGUAAUAAUUUUUCAAAGCUCAUAUUAAAAAAAGAGAUUACGACCUCGAUGUUGAAUUAGAAUAACUUUAAACCGCAAUAGUAUUAAAAGUGGGUCUGUUCGACCCUUAAAUUUCUACA
rnacentral:rRNA from 1 species